UCGGCCUGCACAAUGUGAGGAACCACCCCGCCUCGGAUAGUGAGAGUGCAGGGGAGGACAUCGCUCUGAGCAGGGUCAAGUCGCUACCUGUCGACUCUAGCGGGGAAGUGAUCUCGUAAAAGGUUCAUAUAUUAGUUCUGUCAAUGAAUCCAUUUGUGCAUGAACUCACUACAUAUUGUGAUUAUAAAUAUGUAACCAUGCGUGGAAUGAUUCUUGGCUUCUUGAUUUAUGUUUUGCAUUUGUGUCCUGAAUUACAAUGACUGGUUUUGAUUCAACUUAUCAUGCUCUACUAAUACUUUGAUAUAGGCUGUGACAGCAAGCAGGGGGUGAGGGAGCGAACAGAGUGGUUGUCCCCUCAUUCGAGAUGUAAAGUCGGCCCUCUCCUCCUUACCUCAAUGCACAGAAUCAUGCUAAAUAGCCCAAUGAUGAUACAUGUAAACUAUUUUCUUGUCGUGAACCUUGAAGCCAGGAUGGAAAGACCUCUUCGAAUUAUAAAUCUCAACCUAAUUUGAGCUUGAGUCUGAUGACAUGUUUUGCACCGCAGGAUUAUAUCCUAAAAUCUGCAUUUUUAUUUUCUAACAAUAUGUUAAGUCUUCAGCACUUAAAUUCAUUUAAUCUGAAUUAGUUAGGUCUACACAAGAUGUGAAGUUUAUACAAUUCCAACUAACGGUCAAUGUCGCAGCUCUGAUAAUCAAUGUAGUUGCUGCUGUCAGUUCUGGAAACGUGCCGUUGAAUGCUGUUCAGUUGUUGUGGGUUAACCUAAUUAUGCAUACUUUGGGUGCCCUUGCAUUGGCGACAGAACCACCUACAAACCAUCUUAUGGAGAGACCCCAGUAGGGAGAAGGUAGUGAAUCACCAUCUAUCUUGUAGCAUUGUUUAAACUGUAUAUGUUCAGAAAUUGUACACACUACUUUCACUUAUCACAAAUCCAUUGGACAUAGAAUUAGGAUUUUAGAAGCUCGAUGAUUUUGUUUUGCCUUCAAAGAAGUAUGCUGACGUGAUCAUUCCUCGAGGUGGUGAUAACCGUGUAGCAGUUGAUCUGAUUGUUCAACAUAUCCGUACAAAACUUGGUCAGCAUGACUUGUGCAAAAUCUAUCCAAAUGUUCAUGUUGUUCAAUCAACUUUUCAGAUCCGAGGAAUGCAUACUCUUAUCCGUGAUAGGGACAUCACCACACCUGAGAUUGCCUUGGAAGAGCAGAAACCCACCUUUUGAUAUCGGUUCAUAUGGGGAGCAAAUACUUGACACACUUUCAUCAAGAACUAACAAUACAGGAACUGCAUCUUUUAGUGAGAUUGUUAGCGGCAGACCAAAGUUUGAGAUUGCAAGAACGUUCUCUGCCCUUCUCCAGCUGGUAAGCUUCCCUUCUCUCCCAGAUUCAUAGUCUGGUUAUCUGGUGCAACCUCAAGCAUUUUUUUAGCCACGUGUAUGUUACAAGUGAACGGCAGAAGUGUUGAUCUGGAUAAAGGAAAAGCCACGAAUGAGUUGGUGUGCUACACAGUAGAGAAUCCAUUUCAUGUAAGGCUUAUUGGUCCCAACCGGAGGCCAGAAAUGGAGGCACACUUUGCUCGGAAGAGAGUCAAGUCCCCACUGCAAAAUGCAGGCAAAGUCCGUGAGUCCUCCCUAGCACAACAUGAGUGUCCCAACAAGCCUUUGCGUAAAAAUGGCAAGAUUACAGUCACGACAGCAACCAAGCUGACGCAAGAUGGGAAACGAAGGCGAAGGUCAUCUGCUCACCUAAUCCAGCCGAUCAAUCUGGAAUCCAGCGGAUGAACGCCAGUGCACACUGAUUUUUCUAAUUAUUGUAACUUCAGUGGCGGCUUCAUGGGCAGGAUGAUCCUGUAAGUUAUGACAUAGGCGUAGCUAGCGGGUGUAUAUGUACAGUUCAACUGUAAUGCUGACAGGGCAAGAUUUAUUCGACGGAAUUGCCCUUUUAUAGCAUUUGCCAUUGUUAGAUUCAUUUCUAAUCCAAUAAACUAACACGAUGCCAAGUCUGUU